rnacentral:lncRNA from 1 species
GUUAUGCGUUGCUGCAACGCGCCGCGGAGAGCAGCAGCGGGCCGGGCACAGCUGGCCCAACAAACGUUCUUCUGAGCUUCGCGUCCUUCGCUCCGAGUUCUGGCUCAGCUCCUGGAACUAGCUGGGUGCCAGCGGCGUUCCGGAGAGUCCAGCCAGCUCCAGGCGUCUGGGCGCUUCGAGUCUUUGAUCUUCAGAACCUGGCAGCCUCUGCUGCUCCACUCUCCUCCCGGAAACCACCCAAAAGAUUAACUUCUGAAGCCCUCAGGGCAGAGGGAGGAGAAAGGGUGGGAAAAGGCGCACCGACCAGCCAUUGGGAAGGCUGCAGAGGAGGGAGGCCAGGCUCCCGAGGGCAGCGUCACGCUACGCUCCGUACUCAGCGUCCCUUGUAGGGCCUGACACCUCUAUGAACCUGGGAUCAUGAAUGAAUUCUUGACUCUUAGAGGGUAUGGAGAAGCAAGAAGGAAGGAGAUGAGAUAGGCGAGGAGGGAAGCGGGGCUAUUCUUAAGGUUAAACUGAAAGCGAGCUUUUUAUUGAAUCUAAGAAUAUCUGAGAAGAAAAACGAAAAGAAAGAAAAGAAAAGCAAGCAGACACGGAGGGACCAGAUGGAACCAACUAAGCUGGCUUCUUGCAAGACUCAGCUUCCUGUCUUGGGUCAGCUUCCAUUGCCUUGCUCCUCAUCCUGGCUCAGCUUACUAGAAGCAUCACAUUCCCAGGGCAGCUCUUCAUGACCUUGAAGCAGUGGCCCACUGUGGUGCAAGAAACGGAUGGCAUUUUGAUCUUGCCCCAUUCAGGUUGGGGAGUGAAGUGCAGGGGCCUUUUGCCCCCUUGCUAUGAAAGAACAGAUUCACUGACUACCAUACAUUGCUGUUCUGAAAGCAGGCUGCACAUGACCUCCAGGACCUUAGUGCUUUGCUUCCAGGCCAAGACUGCAGGAGUCAAAUCUGGCUGGCUUUGCCAAAGUACAGGUGUAUGUAGUUCAGGACACUUGAUUUACAUUUGGAGGGGCUGGGGCAGGUGGAGAGGGCAAGAAAGAAGUAAAGAAGAUGGUGAUGUCAGGGGUGUCUCUUCCCAAAUAUGUAAAUAUACCCAAUAAGUUUAAAUAAGAAAUCUAAUUGCUGCUUAAUUUUUGAUCAUGUACUUUAUCUGUAUAGCAAGCUUUGUUGUCCGAAGUUUUUUUUAUCGAUUUAAAUUGCUGCCUUUGAACAGCCAGGCAGGAGCAAAAUGUUAAAUUUUUAAACUUACUUUGUCUAAUUGUCAUUUGUUAGUCGGUAGUAGAUGUGAAAAUUUAAUUUAUGAAUCCAUGAUCAUCCAUACUACACCAAAGGCAGUCUCUGGAGCACUUAUGGCAAGGUGGCCCCUUUGUGUGCACUGGGUAUAGUUGUCUUCUUUAUCAUGUUAUUUUCAAUAUUAAAUACCUAAGCUGCCAUAUGAGUUUUUAUCUUUACAGUUUUCAAGGAAGAGCACAGAAAAAUUUCCCAUUUCAUAUUCAUAGUAUGUAAGUGGGUUCUAUUUUGUAAUGCUGAAAAUACUUAACAGUGCAUUGAACACUUGGAAGGGAAAUACUUUUUGGUGUUGAUUCUGUUAAUGACUCAGAAGAACAGUACACACCCUUGUGGAUUUUUUUUCCUCAGGUCUGAGUAGCAUUGCCUUAAAUCUUACCCAAUUAGAAAGUCACUUUAUUUAAUGUGAUGUUCAAAUUUUCCACCAAAAAAUCCUUCCAAACAAAAGACAUACUUCUUCUCCAAAAGUGUUCUGUGCUAUCGCAAAUACUCCUUGAGAUUUUAAAGGAAUUUCCAUGUUGUACCCUUUAGUGGCAGCCUUGACUGUUGGCAUAGCCAUCUGUUAUGUAGUGGUAGGCAACUUUCCUGCCAUGCAGGACUCCCUCCUGUGAAGUGUAUGUUUUAUACAGUGUGUGCCUCUUCAUGUGGCGAAUAAUUUCUUGUUAAUGUAUGUUUGAGGGGCUUUGAAUGUCAGCAUUAUUUACCCACAGAGUUAUUCAAGUUGUAAAAGGUUAUACAAUAAUUUAACAACUACUUUUUUUAUUCUGUCAGGUUACUGAGCUCACUUUACGAAAGUGGCUGUAAGUACUUAGCAUGACAAAUUCUGUAACUCAUCUGUUUCAGCAUGCAUUAGGGAAACUGAUAAUGCUUGAGUCCACUAAAUCUGCCUUCAGUACUUUAUCAAAGAGGAACCAAGCCUGCUGUGCUUAUAUCAGCAUCUCGAAGAUUCUUUGGUCCUCCAAUCAGUGUACACAUCUCCACACAAAGAAGAGAAAACCAUCUCUGCUCAGAUACCUAUCGGAUGGAGACACCUGAGUGAACUUUGAUGAAGUACAGUCUGAGUUACCAUCAUGCACGAGUAGAACUGCUCUUGGACCUGUCUUUCUGUCAUUUGCAGAACCUACAUGUUUGAUUGACUUGAACGUUGCAUCUUUUGAGGCUAUUUUGUAAGGUCUCUUGGCAUUUAUCCUAGUUGUCUGUUUGGCAAUGUGCUGUUGAAGUAAGAGACUUUUAAUCUUUAUGUAUAUUUUGUUUUCCCUUGAGAUAUUAUAGUGGUUUCUUUUAGGAAAAUCUGUCAUUAAAAUUAUAGCCUUGCAAAUAACCAAUGACCAUAUUGAGUCACGGCUUAUUCUAGUGAGAAUAAAUAAAUAAAUAAAAAUAAAAAUAAAAAUAAACUCUUCCUGGGACUUUAGCUCCAUGGCUAGAUCUAGUAUUUGUGCCCAGAGUUCCUGAUGUAGGCUAAAGAGGUUUUCAUGCUUUUGAAAGUAGUCACAAUCACAAUUACAAAAGUAAUGUUGCAUAUUACUGCUAUAAUUAAUGGAAAUUCCUACUUUUCUCACUUUUGGGGAUAAAUUCCUCCUUUCUGUUCACAUAUCACACCACAUGGGGGCGAACUUGUUUCUCAUUUCCUCUCCUGCAUUUCUGCGCAGGAAUUAUUUUUCUAUUCUUUAGAGCACAUUAUUUAAGAUUGCAAUUAUUUUUCUUCCUUGAAUGUUCUGUAGAACUGUCC